CUACGGGCGGCAGCAGUGAGGAAUAUUGCACAAUGGGGGGAACCCUGAUGCAGCAACGCCGCGUGGAGGAUGACGCAUUUCGGUGUGUAAACUCCUUUUAUAUGUCAAGAAAAUGACGGUAGCAUAUGAAUAAGCACCGGCUAACUCCGUGCCAGCAGCCGCGGUAAUACGGAGGGUGUAAGCGUUACUCGGAAUCACUGGGCGUAAAGGACGCGUAGGCGGGUUGGAAAGUCAGGUGUGAAAUCCUACAGCUUAACUGUAGAACUGCACUUGAAACUUCUAAUCUAGAGUAUGGGAGGGGGAGAUGGAAUUAGUGGUGUAGGGGUAAAAUCCGUAGAUAUCACUAGGAAUACCUAAAGCGAAGGCGAUCUCCUGGAACAUUACUGACGCUAAGGCGUGAAAGCGUGAGGAGCAAACAGGAUUAGAUACCCUAGUAGUC
rnacentral:rRNA from 1 species